GGGUUGGUAGGAAGCCAAAUGCUCUCACAGCACAGUGCCUAAAGCUGGUCAGAUCCCUCAGAAUGUUCUAACCACAGCCCACAGUGGUUUGCUCCCUCUGAGCACGGGCAGAAAGGAAGGGAAUAGGAACCUCAGCAGUGUCUGAAAGGGAGACUGGAGGUGUUCAAAGCCAACACGAAUGAGGCUUUUUGCAAUCUGAUCUAGAGGGUAGCAACCAGCCCGUGGCAGGGGUUGGAGCUGGAUGGGGCUUUGAGAUCUCUUCCAACCUAAGCCAUUCAGUGACUCUAAAGAAGGGCUGUGGCACCUCCAGAACGUGACAGAGAAGACCAGAGCGUGGCUGUGGCUCACGCCCACGAGAGCAGUGUCCAACCCCAACGCUCACCGAUCACGUGUGUCCUUGUAGGCUGAAUCCACGAGCUGCUUGGCCUCGUCCACACUGCUCAGCAGGAACGCAUCCGACAGCUUCUCAGGCAAAUCUCAUUGGGGGAAAGGAAAGAGCAGAGAACAUAAAGGCCCCUGAUCUGCAAAACCUGAGAAAGAGACAAUACCAUAGGAAGAAGAUGCAGAUCCCCGGAACAGGAUGAUCUUCGCCAGCAACACCAGGAAGCAGGUUUCUGCCUUCAUCCCUGCAAAGAAAGAGGACGUGUGUGAUGCAGGAGCUCUCAAUGUGAUGGAGACCAGAGGCAAAGAAGUGCCCAGUGCUUCUUGUUGUUCUUGUUCGUCGUCGUUUUUUUAACCUACGAAGACCUGAAGGUCUCAA